GCAGGCUGCAACUCGCCUGCAUGAAGUCGGAAUUGCUAGUAAUCGUAGGUCAGCAUACUACGGUGAAUACGUUCCCGGGGCCUUGUACACACCGCCCGUCAAACCAUGAGAGUUGGCAACACCCGAAGUCGGUAGUCUAACCGCAAGGAGGACGCCGCCGAAGGUGGGGUUGAUGAUUAGGGUUAAGUCGUAACAAGGUACC
rnacentral:rRNA from 1 species